UAAAUUUAAACUUACUAUUAUAUAUCUAUAAUAUUUAAAAGCUGUUAUAUUAUUAUUAUUUUCAUCUGCUCGGUCUUGUACAAUAUUUUCAUUGAAUUUUCAUAUCCGAGUCAGACUUGUAGUCGAACCGAUGGAUCUAUUUACUCGUAUAUAAGUGAGGGUAGGAUAUAAUAAAACGAACAUGGUAAAAAUACCUCACAAUAAUAUUAAUCUUUUUGAGACAAUUGUUUUAUUAGUAGAAAUCUAUAAUAUAAAAUAAAUGAUCUGUUUACAUUUAUUAUUUUUUUCAAUUCUGUUUACAUGUAUUUAUGUAUUAAUUGGUGUUCAAAAUAUUGUAUUUUUUUAAAGAAGUAAUUGAAAGUGGGUCUGAAGUUAAAUGGGAUUAAAAUUGUUUUUAACUUAAAUGGGUUUAGUAGUAAAAAUCGAUUUGUUAAGUUAAGGGCCCAAGCCCAUCAAAAAAUUUGUACCUGCCGACAAGAAAGGAUUAAGAUCGUCUCUUGUUUUGACAGAUUGAAACUCUAAAAAAAAAAUUCGGAGAUGGCGAUUCCCGUCCACUCGUUCCUCUCGGAUUUGAUCUGGUGUUGGGUCCAUGUGAUUUCCGAUGACUUCCGAGUACAAAUCGGUCAGAUUGUAAUACUGAAACAAUACCCGACAAACAUGUAAGCGUUCGCUGUUUGAAUGUUAACUCUUUUUUUAUCGUUGUAUAAAAAAUCAUUGUUGGUUCUUAUUACACGAAUC